UCCCUGAUAGCUCAGUUGGUAAAGAAUCUGCCUGCAAUGCAGAAAACUCCUGGUUUGAUUCCUGGGUCGGGAA
rnacentral:tRNA from 1 species